AGAGACAUGUUUCUAAGAAUUUAAGUCCUUUGUAAUAUGGAAAAUUUUCGAUAUUGUUAAAUGACAAUUGACUGAGGCCAGAGUUGGUUCAUUAUAGCAGAUGAUGAUGAUGCAUCUUGGCUUUCGUUCAAAAAAAAAUGAUGCAUCUUGGCAAAUUUAAUUUUGACCUUUCUAUAUACCAGGAACUUGAUGAUGUCAUUGAAGAGCUUGAGAAGAUAGCAGUUGUUCAUCUACUGCAGAACAGGUC
rnacentral:lncRNA from 1 species